UCGCUCCUACCGAUUGAAUGUUCCGGUGAAGAAUCGGGAGGGUUUCUGAGCAGGUCGAAAGGCUUUUUCGGGAACUUGAACCUUUCUAAAUCUUAGCAUUUAGAGGAAGGAG
rnacentral:rRNA from 1 species